rnacentral:rRNA from 1 species
GUGCUUAACACAUGCAAGUCGAACGGAAAGGCCCUGCUUUUGUGGGGUGCUCGAGUGGCGAACGGGUGAGUAACACGUGAGUAACCUGCCCUUGACUUUGGGAUAACUUCAGGAAACUGGGGCUAAUACCGGAUAGGAGCUCCUGCUGCAUGGUGGGGGUUGGAAAGUUUCGGCGGUUGGGGAUGGACUCGCGGCUUAUCAGCUUGUUGGUGGGGUAGUGGCUUACCAAGGCUUUGACGGGUAGCCGGCCUGAGAGGGUGACCGGCCACAUUGGGACUGAGAUACGGCCCAGACUCCUACGGGAGGCAGCAGUGGGGAAUAUUGCACAAUGGGCGGAAGCCUGAUGCAGCAACGCCGCGUGCGGGAUGACGGCCUUCGGGUUGUAAACCGCUUUCGCCUGUGACGAAGCGUGAGUGACGGUAAUGGGUAAAGAAGCACCGGCUAACUACGUGCCAGCAGCCGCGGUGAUACGUAGGGUGCGAGCGUUGUCCGGAUUUAUUGGGCGUAAAGGGCUCGUAGGUGGUUGAUCGCGUCGGAAGUGUAAUCUUGGGGCUUAACCCUGAGCGUGCUUUCGAUACGGGUUGACUUGAGGAAGGUAGGGGAGAAUGGAAUUCCUGGUGGAGCGGUGGAAUGCGCAGAUAUCAGGAGGAACACCAGUGGCGAAGGCGGUUCUCUGGGCCUUUCCUGACGCUGAGGAGCGAAAGCGUGGGGAGCGAACAGGCUUAGAUACCCUGGUAGUCCACGCUGUAAACGGUGGGUACUAGGUGUGGGGUCCAUUCCACGGGUUCCGUGCCGUAGCUAACGCUUUAAGUACCCCGCCUGGGGAGUACGGCCGCAAGGCUAAAACUCAAAGGAAUUGACGGGGCCCCGCACAAGCGGCGGAGCAUGCGGAUUAAUUCGAUGCAACGCGUAGAACCUUACCUGGGUUUGACAUGGAUCGGGAGUGCUCAGAGAUGGGUGUGCCUCUUUUGGGGUCGGUUCACAGGUGGUGCAUGGCUGUCGUCAGCUCGUGUCGUGAGAUGUUGGGUUAAGUCCCGCAACGAGCGCAACCCUUGUUCACUGUUGCCAGCACGUUAUGGUGGGGACUCAGUGGAGACCGCCGGGGUCAACUCGGAGGAAGGUGGGGAUGACGUCAAGUCAUCAUGCCCCUUAUGUCCAGGGCUUCACGCAUGCUACAAUGGCUGGUACAGAGAGUGGCGAGCCUGUGAGGGUGAGCGAAUCUCGGAAAGCCGGUCUCAGUUCGGAUUGGGGUCUGCAACUCGACCUCAUGAAGUCGGAGUCGCUAGUAAUCGCAGAUCAGCAACGCUGCGGUGAAUACGUUCCCGGGGCUUGUACACACCGCCCGUCAAGUCAUGAAAGUUGGUAACACCCGAAGCCGGUGGCCUAACCGUUGUGGGGGAGCCGUCGAAGGUGGGACUGGUGAUUAGG